rnacentral:misc_RNA from 1 species
AGCAGCCGCGGUAAUUCCAGCUCCAAUAGCGUAUAUUAAAGUUGUUGCAGUUAAAAAGCUCGUAGUUGAAUUUCGGGAUCAAAGGAUCGGUCAUGCCUCGGUAUGUACUGGUUUUAUUGGUUCUCACCUUCUAAAGAACCAUAAUGUCAUUCAUUUGAUGUUAUGGGGAAUUAGGACUGUUACCUUGAAAAAAUUAGAGUGUUUAAAGCAGGCUUACGCUUGAAUACAUUAGCAUGGAAUAAUGAAAUAGGACAUCAGAUUCUAUUUUGUUGGUUUCUAGGAUCGAUGUAAUGAUUAAUAGGGAUAGUUGGGGGCAUUAGUAUUCAAUUGUCAGAGGUGAAAUUCUUGGAUUUAUUGAAGACUAACUACUGCGAAAGCAUUUGCCAAGGAUGUUUUCAUUAAUACAAGAACGAAAGUUAGGGGAUCGAAGACGAUCAGAUACCGUCGUAGUCUUAACCAUAAACUAUAGCCGACUAGGGAUCGGAUGAUGUUAAUUUAUAAUGACUCAUUCGG